rnacentral:rRNA from 1 species
GACGUAGGGCGCGAGCGUUGUCCGGAUUUAUUGGGCGUAAAGAGCUCGUAGGCGGCUUGUCGCGUCGACUGUGAAAUCCCGCGGCUCAACUGCGGGUCUGCAGUCGAUACGGACAGGCUAGAGUUCGGUAGGGGAGACUGGAAUUCCUGGUGUAGCGGUGAAAUGCGCAGAUAUCAGGAGGAACACCGGUGGCGAAGGCGGGUCUCUGGGCCGAUACUGACGCUGAGGAGCGAAAGCGUGGGGAGCGAACAGG